rnacentral:rRNA from 1 species
AUUGAACGCUGGCGGCAGGCUUAACACAUGCAAGUCGAGCGGAGAUGAGGUGCUUGCACCUUAUCUUAGCGGCGGACGGGUGAGUAAUGCUUAGGAAUCUGCCUAUUAGUGGGGGACAACAUUCCGAAAGGAAUGCUAAUACCGCAUACGUCCUACGGGAGAAAGCAGGGGAUCUUCGGACCUUGCGCUAAUAGAUGAGCCUAAGUCGGAUUAGCUAGUUGGUGGGGUAAAGGCCUACCAAGGCGACGAUCUGUAGCGGGUCUGAGAGGAUCACGCGCCACACUGGAACAGAGACACGGCCCAGACUCCUACGGGAGGCAGCAGUGGGGAAUAUUGGAAAAGGGGGGGAACCUGGAACAAGCCAUGCCGGGUGGGUGAAGAAGGCCUUAUGGUUGUAAAGCACUUUAAGCGAGGAGGAGGCUACUGAGACUAAUACUCUUGGAUAGUGGACGUUACUCGCAGAAUAAGCACCGGCUAACUCUGUGCCAGCCGCCGCGGUAACAC